CCUGUGUAAGAGAGGUAGCACAUUAACAGUGUGUUUCAGUAUCUUAAAUGGUACCUAGUGCAAAGAAUUGCUACCACGCCCUGAAUGACUGACUGCCUCAGCCUUUGAGAGUCUUAAGAGAAGCAAGAGAAUAAAGAAAGAUCCCCAGCCAAGAACUCAAAGCCCCCGGGUUCUAGAUUACUAUGGCUGCCUGCAUGCUGUAUGCCACUCAUCUCUGGAGUGAAUUGCCCUCUCUGGGGCUCCCUCAUCAAAUGAAAGAGGACAGAGCAGCCCCACCCCAGCUGCCUCCUGUCAGCUCACAGCCUGAAACAACAGAAUCAACUCUGAACUCAUGUCACAAACAAGAAGCCACAGCCCACCAGGUGGCUGAUGGAAAUGGCAGAGGGCUCAGCUUUCAUGAGAAUUGAAGGUGGGACAGCAAGUUUUCUCUAUGAGUAACUGUGGUAUGUGGAUGUUUUACAACCUUAGAGAAAAUGAGGCUGCUGUAUAUACUUUGCUACUACCUAGGUAAGUGGUUUCCUGGCCUGGCCUUCACUAUGAAGCAUGAUUUGUACUAGUUGUCAAUAUAAUUCCCCAGAUUUGCCUGAAAACACUCUGGACUGUGUCCUCCCAACCUUCAGCUUUCAUUCAGCUUCGUUUCUGAGAUGAAGCCAUUGGUGAUGUUCCUGCUCAGUUAUGGUUCUGUUUUUGUUCAGUGUGGCCGUGGCAAAUGGUUACACAUUUUCCGU
rnacentral:lncRNA from 1 species